rnacentral:tRNA from 1 species
GCCGUCUUAACCAAGUGGUCUACGGUGUUUGAUUAGAAAUCACAUCCUCUCUGAGGGCGCAGGUUCGAAUCCUGCAGACGGCU